rnacentral:rRNA from 1 species
UACGUAGGGGGCAAGCGUUGUCCGGAAUCAUUGGGCGUAAAGAGCGUGUAGGCGCCCGGUAAGUCCGCCGUGAAAGUCCAGGGCUCAACCCUGGAAUGCCGGUGGAAACUGCCGGGCUGGAGUCCGGAAGAGGCGAGUGGAAUUCCUGGUGUAGCGGUGAAAUGCGCAGAUAUCAGGAGGAACACCAAUGGCGAAGGCAG